GAGUGAGCUACAAAACAUGCACCGAUCGACCUCGCAUGUGUCAACAGAGUACAAAGUGAUUCUCCCACCCACGAACAUACUCUUUGCCCGUGGCCACCAUUGGUAAAGUGGAAGUGUGUGCGCAUGUAUCUGUGUGUGUGUGUGUGUGUGUCACAGUGAUAACAAGCUGUGAUCCUUACUUUGAAAUACCGUUUGCCCUUAUAAACACACCACAUCAGCACAUGUAUUUCAGACAGAGAUGUUCACAAGUAUUUUUUCCUAAAUCCAAUCAAGUUUCAAGUCUUUGAUAGGGAAGUUCAAAUUAAGGCCGUUUGGCUGUAGAGAUGAACUCACACUAAGCCAGAGGAGCCAUAAUAGGUGCUGUAAUACUUAUGCCAUGCCUGUGAGUGGCAUAAGUAUUACAGCAUUACUGUAAUGCUGCUACAGAGGUAAAGAAGUUCCACAUUGUAAAAGUGUGUGAAAGUAUAGGAAGAAGAAGACAUUGGCGACAACAACAAAAGGAAGGAGAAAAUAUGCUUUUGUGUGGAACUAAGCACAGUUAGUGAACAUAAUUUUAGGGUGGCUUCAAACUUUCUCAGUCUGGGAACAGGUUUGGUUCCUUCGCUGUUUCAUAUCGAUGGGACCCCAUAUCUGGCCAAGAAGCUUGGUGGAUACUCCCAAACCCAGGUUCGUGUGGAUCGGGCCUUGGUCUAAAGUGUUUUGCCUCAAGUUCCAGUUGAGUCAGAAGUCUCAACAAAUGCAGAAUUACAUAACUUCAAGUGCAUGCAUCUGAUGAGAGUGGAAUCAAAAUGUCCUCCAGAGCAAGUUCUUCCAACAAUUCAGGGCCAUUGGCAGAAGAUCUGUGUAUUUUCCAGCAAGAGGUAGUAUUGUGUAACACAGCAAAUAUGAUAAACUGGUCUAAAGACAAAAACACUGACAUUUUGGACCCAUGGUCAGAAAAACACCCCUGAUUAUAACCCAGAUGAGACAAAAAUGGAUCACCAUUAGACAGGAGAUUGCUUGAAAGUUAAUAUUCAGCAUUGUAAUGAGAAAUGCAGAAAGAAGCCUAAUCACUGUAAAAACAGUCUCCCUUUAAAACUGAUGUAUUGACUAGUCUUUGAAACCUGUUUAUAACAGUUUUUAAAUUUACCAUCAGAACUAAUGAAAACAUGUUUUUAGAAGUGUGGAUUUUACACCAUCUUUUAUUGUUGCCAGUUUUUUUGUUUUGCCAUUUGCUGUGCUGUUUCUUGUAUGUACUUGUUGUUUCCAUCCAUCCAUCCAUCCAUCCACCCAUCCAUCCAUCCAUCCAUCCAUCCAUCCAUCCAUCCAGAUGCUUAUUAAAAUCAUAGAUGGGACUGACACAAUAAGUGAUAAACAUAAAAAUAAAGAUUGCUUAUUACAAAAUCAUGAAUUCUUUUUAAACUUAUUCCAGGUGUAACCUCUGCUAAAGGCUCAUUAGUGAAAGGUCAGGAAAUAGGCCUCUGAAUGCAGAAAUUAUGUUUCUGGUUUGGAAUCUACCGAGGUUCACGGAAACACUUGGAUUAACAAAAUCCCUCCUAAAAGGUCUAUAAACAGGGUUUUGUUUUAGCACUUUAUAAAUCAAACAGCAUAAUGAUUUCCUGCGGACAUUACACACUACAAUUUGAACAGCGUUUGAACUGGCCCUCAGAUGCAGACCCUGAAAGAGUUCAGGUCACACACAUAUAUCACUGUGACAAUAUGACAUUACGUUAUCACUUUUUGUUGCACAAAACAUUUUACAGCAGGCUGAAGCUGUCCAAUAGACUUCAAGAUUAGUUACUAAAAAUGUCUUUUUAAAAAGCCAAAUCUUUUCCGAAGGCAUUGUUCCUGUUAGAGAAUGUGUGAAGAUGAUGAAGAAGCUUGUGGCAGGGGUAAAACUACUCAAUGAACUGUUCAACUGACCUGUUAGAGACAACAGUGGUAAAACAUGGUCAACCGCUAUUUACCAAUAGUCAACUACUGAAACAGUUUCCAGGUUUAAGGUUUUAUGUCCUGAUAUAAGCCCCAUUUUUGAUGUCUUACUUUAACUAAUAAGCAUUCUCAUAUUUUAUUUAUAACUGACUUGGUAACAUCAGUGGUUAAUUCAGGGGAUGAGCAACCAAAUCAGAUACAAAGUGUAGGAUCUGAAGUAAAUUUUUAAGAAUUUUUGGUCAUGGUAAGUUUUUUUCGAGGAAUUACACGUGAAGAUCCCGUGAAGACUAAUGUGCCCCUUUUCUAUUGAUUGUAGAAAGCUCUAGGUUUUUGAAAAGCCCCAGGCUUUUGAAAAACCCAGGUCACGUUUCAUUACAAAUUUACCUGGGUAAUUUCACUUUCUCAGGGAUUUACUUUUACAGGUAAAUGGUCCUACUCUGGAGUUGGUCUUUUUCAGCUUUCCUCUGGAUUUGUUAAAGGGGCGAGGUUAUGUGCAGCGAGACAUGGCACCAGCAGCUUCAGUACUGGAUGAGGUUAGUACAAAUUAAUCACUUUUAUACCAUUUAUUUGUCACAAAAAGUAGUUUUAAGAUGUUUUUAAGUGAAAAAGUAGACCUCAAAACGUCAUUUGUGCAGUAAGUUUAUCAAGAAUGAACCUACUUUAAAAUGUUCUUUCUGAGUUUUCGGAGCAGUGGAGUGCCGCUUACAGGCUGGUCUGGCCGCUAAACUAAGCUAAGCUAACUGGGCGGUUGGACUGGGACUUCCCCACUAACUGCUGCCUGAUCUUGGUCCUGGGAUUUCCCGCUACCUGUUAUCUGUUUGUGGCGGCUGAAAGUGAAUGAAAAGUAGUAGUUCUGCAAGACAAAUGUUUUAAUGCAGUGCUGAUGAUCAAAGCACUCAACAUUUUCCAGUUUUAUGCAGACAGCUCUGCAGGAAGAGAGACCACAGUUCCAGGUAUGGAUGAAGUGUCCCAGAAGCUCUUAUCCUCUUCAUGUCCUGCCAUAAUUUGCUCUACUGUCUAUGCAUCUUCUCCUUUAUAUAAAUAUUUGCUUUUGAUUAGAAAGUUAAGGUAUUAAUUCUCUGUAAUUCUGGAGCGAUUGUCUGUUUUUUUAUGCUAAUAAAUAUUUUUUACUAAAAACAUGUUCUGUAGUUAUCUGAUAUGAGUU